rnacentral:rRNA from 1 species
UACAGAGGUCCCAAGCGUUGUUCGGAUUCACUGGGCGUAGAGGGUGCGUAGGUGGUCGGGUAAGUCUGAUGUGAAAUCUCCGAGCUCAACUCGGAAAUGGCAUUGGAUACUAUUCGGCUAGAGGGUUUGAGGGGGGACUGGAAUACUUGGUGUAGCAGUGAAAUGCGUAGAUAUCAAGUGGAACACCAGUGGCGAAGGCGAGUCCCUGGAAAACUCCUGACACUGAGGCACGAAAGCUAGGGGAGCAAACAGG